CAGGGAAAAGCUUGCUUUUUUGCUGACGACCGGCGAACGGGUGCGUAACGCGUAUAGAAUCUGCCUUGUACAGGAGGAUAGCCUUUAGAAAUGAAGAGGAAUACUCCAUAAUGUUGAGAGAUGGCAUCAUCUUUUAAUUAAAGAUUUAUCGGUACAAGAUGACUAUGCGUCCUAUUAGCUAGAUGGUAAGGUAACGGCUUACCAUGGCAACGAUAGGUAGGGGGUCUGAGAGGAUUAUCCCCCACACUGGUACUGAGACACGGACCAGACUCCUACGGGAGGCAGCAGUGAGGAAUAUUGGUCAAUGGAGGCAACUCUGAACCAGCCAUGCCGCGUGCAGGAAGACUGCCCUAUGGGUUGUAAACUGCUUUUAUACAGGAAGAAACUUAGUUACGUGUAA
rnacentral:rRNA from 1 species